UCCCUUCCUUUCUCCCUGCAGGGAAGACUCCACCGCAGGUCUUUCGACGCGACAUCGCGAAUCAGAUCAGGCGGAGGAGGCGUCGAUCGGAAGAAGGAAAAGCUCCUCCGUUUCUCUCACGAUUCCUCUUCCACGCUUCCCCUUUCUUGUCUUCUCGCGAUCGUAUUCACGUGUCCUCCCUUCUCUGUUUCGUCCCGAUUCUUCCAUGGAGCAGCUCGUCAAUUUCAUCAUAAGGCCCCCCAGGGCUGAUUACAAUCCGCAAGAUGAUUUGUUAGACCAGGAGUUUAUGCUGAGAGGGCGAUGGUUUCAAAGGAAGGACCUGGAGGUCGUAAAUUGUCGUGGAAAGAAACUUCAGUGCAGCCACUACUUGCCCCUUGUAAUUCCAGAAGGAGCAGCCUUACCUUGUGUGAUAUAUUGUCAUGGAAACAGG